rnacentral:lncRNA from 1 species
GGAGCCCGCUGGGGGGAUAUUUCACGUGCAAACUGUAGUGCUGACCUUCUGCUUCUGUGUAAGAGCCACCAAGUCAGCUACCUUUUGAGGGAAAACAGCUUAAAUCUUACUUGCAACAGAGAAACGGUACCUCGUGGGUGGCGAUCUAGUCCCUUUUCUUUUACAUCGUAAGCACUGAGAAGUCUCAUCUGCUCACCAGUGAUCACCUGUCAGCUGAAGUCAUCAGAUUGUCUUCAAGCCCCACCACACCUCCAGCCCCACUGGACUGUUUUCUCAAUGGAGGACUUUUCUUCUUGAAAGCAGUAAUCAGAAAGAGCAAGAAUCAGACUGAAGUGCUUCGUUGAAACUGUACAUUUUCAAGCACCUGAGGACCAAGCCAAUGUAGAGAUUGC